ACACCAGGUUUUCAUCCUGGCAACAGGGGUUCGAUUCCCCUCGGGAUCACCA
rnacentral:tRNA from 1 species